AAUCAACGCUGGCGGCGUGCCUAACACAUGCAAGUCGCACGAGAAAGGGACUUCGGUCCUGAGUACAGUGGCGCACGGGUGAGUAACACGUGAAUCAUCUACCUUCGAGUGGGGAAUAACUGAGAGAAAUCUUAGCUAAUACCGCAUAAUACCUACGGGUCAAAGCAGCAAUGCGCUUGAAGAGGAGUUCGCGGCAGAUUAGUUAGUUGGCAGGGUAAGGCCUACCAAGACGAUGAUCUGUAUCCGGCCUGAGAGGGCGCACGGACACACUGGAACUGAAACACGGUCCAGACUCCUACGGGAGGCAGCAGUGGGGAAUUUUGCGCAAUGGGGGAAACCCUGACGCAGCAACGCCGCGUGGAGGAUGAAAUCCCUUGGGAUGUAAACUCC
rnacentral:rRNA from 1 species